rnacentral:rRNA from 1 species
CCUACGGGAGGCAGCAGUAGGGAAUUUUCGUCAAUGGGCGCAAGCCUGAACGAGCAAUGCCGCGUGAACGAGGAAGGUCUUCGGAUCGUAAAGUUCUGUUGAAGGGGAAAAAGAGCGGAGAGAGGAAAUGCUUUCUGAUUGAUAUUACCCUUCGAGGAAGUCACGGCUAACUACGUGCCAGCAGCCGCGGUAAUACGUAGGGGGCGAGCGUUAUCCGGAAUGAUGGGGCGGAACGGGGGCGUAGGCGGCCUGCUAAGUCUGGAGUGAAAGGUACCGGCUCAACCGGUACAGGCUCUGGAAACUGGUGGGCUAGAGAGCAGGAGAGGGAGGUGGAACUCCAUGUGUAGCGGUAAAAUGCGUAGAUAUAUGGAAGAACACCAGUGGCGAAGGCGGCCGCCUGGCCUGUUACUGACGCUGAGGCACGAAAGCGUGGGGAGCAAAUAGGAUUAGAUACCCCGGUAGUC